GAUGAACGCUAGCGGGAGGCUUAACACAUGCAAGUCGAGCGGCAGCACGGUCUUCGGACUGGUGGCGAGCGGCGCACGGGUGCGUAACGCGUAUGCAACCUGCCUUAUGCAGGGGGAUAGCCCAUGGAAACGUGGAUUAAUACCCCAUAACAUCAAUUUUUCGCAUGUUAGAUUGAUUAAAAUUUCGGUGGCAUAAGAUGGGCAUGCGUCUGAUUAGCUAGUUGGUGAGGUAACGGCUCACCAAGGCGACGAUCAGUAGGGGUCCUGAGAGGGUUACCCCCCACACUGGUACUGAGACACGGACCAGACUCCUACGGGUGGCAG
rnacentral:rRNA from 1 species